ensembl:snRNA U1 U1 spliceosomal RNA
AUACUUACCUGGCAGGGGAGAUACCAUGAUCACGAAGGUGGUUUUCCCAGGGCGAGGCUCAUCCAUUGCACUCCGGAUGUGCUGACCCCUGCGAUUUCCCCAAAUGUGGGAAACUCGACUGCAUAAUUUGUGGUAGUGGGGGACUGCGUUCGCGCUAUCCCCUG